AACGAACGCUGGCGGCAGGCCUAAUACAUGCAAGUCGAACGCACCGCAAGGUGAGUGGCAGACGGGUGAGUAACGCGUGGGAACCUUCCCGAUAGUACGGAAUAACUCAGGGAAACUUGAGCUAAUACCGUAUACGCCCUUCGGGGGAAAGAUUUAUCGCUAUCGGAUGGGCCCGCGUUGGAUUAGCUAGUUGGUGGGGUAAUGGCCUACCAAGGCGACGAUCCAUAGCUGGUCUGAGAGGAUGAUCAGCCACACUGGGACUGAGACACGGCCCAGACUCCUACGGGAGGCAGCAGUAGGGAAUCUUGGACAAUGGGCGAAAGCCUGAUCCAGCCAUGCCGCGUGAGUGAAGAAGGCCUUAGGGUUGUAAAGCUCUUUUGGCGGGGACGAUAAUGACGGUACCCGCAGAAUAAGCCCCGGCUAACUUCGUGCCAGCCGCCGCGGUAACAC
rnacentral:rRNA from 1 species